AGCUUCCUACGGGGGGCAGCAGUGGGGAAUAUUGCACAAUGGGGGAAACCCUGAUGCAGCGACGCCGCGUGAAGGAAGAGGUAUUUCGGUAUGUAAACUUCUAUCAGCAGGGAAGAAAAUGACGGUACCUGACUAAGAAGCCCCGGCUAACUACGUGCCAGCAGCCGCGGUAAUACGUAGGGGGCAAGCGUUAUCCGGAUUUACUGGGUGUAAAGGGAGCGUAGGCGGCGAUGCAAGUCAGAAGUGAAAGCCCGGGGCCCAACUCCGGGACUGCUUUUGAAACUGUAUGGCUAGAU
rnacentral:rRNA from 1 species